UAGGCAUUAAAUGCUCAAACAGGGUGACAUUUUAUAUAUGUAUAAAAUGUCACCCUGUUUGAGCAUUUCAUGUUUC